AUACGUAGGUGGCAAGCGUUGUCCGGAUUUACUGGGUGUAAAGGGCGCGUAGGCGGGAUGGCAAGUCAGAUGUGAAAUCUCCGGGCUCAACCCGGAAACUGCAUUUGAAACUGUCGUUCUUGAGUAUCGGAGAGGCAAGCGGAAUUCCUAGUGUAGCGGUGAAAUGCGUGGAUAUUAGGUGGAACACCAGUGGCGAAGGCGGCUUGCUGGACGGCACAUGUCGUUGAGGCUCGAAAUGUUGGGGAGCAAACAGGUUAAGAUGCCCUGGUAGUCCACGCCGUAAACGAAGAAUACUAGGUGUGGGGGGACUGACCCCCUGCGUGCCGCAGUUAAUACAAUAAGCAUUCCGCCUGGGGAGUACAGCCGCAAGGUUGAAACUCAAAUGAAUUGACUGGG
rnacentral:rRNA from 1 species